UGCGCCCAGUGGCGGCCGGGGGGCGGAGGAUCAACAGCAGGCUGGAAAUGGCAAACAAUUUGCAUGCAGGAAUCUCUCACACACAACAACAGAUAAACAAUUUUCUACUAGUUGAAGUGGAACAUUGAUGUCCACACGCAAUGGGACUAGUUGCCAAUGAUGCCGAAAAGAAGGAAACGUGUUCAUACUCCAGUGAGUUAAAAUGCUGCACGGGAUAAACGGGCUCCUUCCAUCACUUUUGCACCUUCAGCAGGUCACCGCUGGGAAUCCGCUGUUACUUCAAUUCUUAUCGUUGGGUGCAUGAUGAUAAUGUUGGGUGGUGGCGUGGGGGUAUCUCUCUGCAAAAGGAGCUCCAUCCCUCCGCUACUCUGCAGGUACCCACUUAACCCCGUUCAUUUGCCCUGUGUCUGAAAUGAAGUUGCCUGUUUUAAAUUCUCAUUGAAAAGUGCUUUCGUUCCAGGGCCCUGAGAACACCCCAGCAUAUCUUCACUAAAGAUCAGGCACACAGUUGCUUGACGUGUGGGAGUGAUUCACGGCAUUGCCUGCCCUGGCAAUGCACUACAGAGCUCGUAGAAAGGAAAAAUCGCUCAUCUGUUCUGAGUGUGGGAAGGGAUUCAGCCAUCCGUUUAGCCUGCAGCCACCCCGGCCAGUUCACAAGAUUUUUCACUUGCUCUGGGUGUGGGAAGUUUCAGGUUCCCAGUCUGCAGAAACAUCAGCAAUUCACACUAUGGAGAGGCAAUUCCCUGGCUAGGUGUGACGGUGGGAUAAGCUCCGUCAACCAUCAUGAAGAUACUUAAGGGGUUUUAUGCCACAGAGAGACAGUAAAAGUGUCCUGAUUGCAGAUGUGGAUUGAUCUCCUUCUCCGGCUAGAUGAUUCAUCAUAACAUUUACAUGGGUGGGGGGAGAGGAUGUUCACCUGCUCUGUACGUGGGAAGGGAUUCACCCCAGCACCUGAGCCACUGACACAGCAGAGUGUUUACACUGGGGGCAGUUCAUUUGCUUCAUGUGUGGGCUGGGAUUCACUCAAUGAUCUCGCCUUGUCAGGCAAUAGCAAGUCCACACCUGUCCUGUGUGACUACUCCGUCAUCCCAGCUGCUCAGACACCAGCAACUUCAUAGAGUCUAAAUUACUCAAUAAUGAUCAUUUAACCACCAUAUUUGGAGAAUCCAGUUUCCAGUUCAGUUGUGAUGUUAGCGUCAGAUUCCUGCUGUUCAUCACACCUGAAACUGAACACGGGGGGGGGGGGUGGGGUUUGGUCUGACUAAAUGAUAUCGGAGCAGAAUUAGGCUAUUUGACCAUAAAGUCUGCUCUGCCAUUUCAUCACGGCUGAUCCAUUUCCCCUCAGCCACAAUCCCCUGCCUUCUCCCUGUAUCCAUGUCCUGACUAAUCAAUAAUGUAUCAAACUCUGCCUUAAAUAUACCUAAAGACUUGGCCUCCUCAACUGUGUGUGGCAAUAAAUUCCACAGAUUCGCCAUCUCUGGCUAAAGAAGUUCCCCCUCAUUUCCGUUCUGGAGGGACGUCCCUCUGUUCUGAGGCGGUGUCCUCUGGUCUUAGAACUCCUGGUUUUGUUUGUUAUUGAAGGAUAGUGCGGAGCAAACUAACAGACAGUAGGUGCAGGGGUAGGCCAUUCGGCCCUUCUAGCCAGCACUGCCAUUCACUGUGAUCAUGGCAGAUCAUACACAAUCAGUACCCCGUUCCUGCCCUCUCCCCAUAUCCCUUGACCCCACUGUCUAUAAGAGCUCUAUCUAACUCUCUCUUGAAUGCAUCCAGAGACUUGGCCUCUACUGCCUUCUGGGGCAGAGCAUUCCACAUAUCCACCACUCUCUGGGUGAAAAAGUUUUUCCGCAGCUCUGUUCUAAAUGGCCUACCCCUUAUUCUUCAACUGUGGCCUCUAGUUCUGGACUCACCCAUCAGUGGGAACAUGCUUCCUGCCUCCAGUGUGUCCAAUCCCUUAAUAAACUUAUAUGUUUCUAUCAGAUCCCCUCUCAUUCUUCUAAAUUCCAGUGUAUACAAGCCCAGUUGCUCCAAUCUCAGAAUAUGACAGUCCCGCCAUUCCGGGAAUUAACCUUGUGAACCUACGCUGCACUCCCUCAAUAGCAAGAAUGUCCUUCCUCAAAUUUGGAGACCAGAACUGAACACAAUACUCCAGGUGGGGUCUCACCAGGGCCCUGUACAGCUUCAGAAGGACCUCUUUACUCCUAUACUCAAUUCCUCAUGUUAUAAAAGCCGGCAUGCCGUUAGCUUUCUUCACUGCCUGCUGCACCUGCAUGCUUGCUUUCAUUGACUGAUGUACAAGAACACCUAGGGCCCCAGUAUACAGGAUUUUCAACUGAACUUUAUUGGUUCAGUAUGUGAAAUACUCCCAUGUGGGCCUGGAUAACUGAGUGGUAUAGGAAUAACACUAUUAACUACCACUACAUCUCACGUCUUUUUUUAAAGAGAAAAACUAGGCAUUUACUUCUUGUCCCCAGAACUGCAGUGAAAUUAUAGUCACUGAAACAGAGUGAUUCAGUUCACUUCACGCAUAGCACAUACGGUAGCUUAUGCUCCCUACAUAAACAAAAAAAGAGAAUUACCAACAUCUUUGUCUUUCUCUUUAAGUCUCUCCCCCUCACCCUCCCCUCUCUCCACUCCCCAAGAUGGGGGAUGUUGAUCGUAGACGGUUGGGUGAAAUUGGUGACACACCAACGGGUGUGGGGAUGGGAAGGGAAGGAAUGAUGGUGCUUGACAGACACACUGGUUCAGGAGGCGUCAUGGUUAUCACAAAAGUAGGUGCGGGGGGGUGAGGAAGGCUGUACCUUCAACUCAUGUAUGGGAGGGGAAUGGGGUUAUUCCACAGUCUGGUUGGUGCGAGGGAGGAAGGGAGUGUCCCUGUGCCAGGGGUGGACAAGUAUCCCAGGGACGUGAGGGGGAGGGUGUUCCGAAACGGAGUUGGAGUUGACAGUACAUCCCCCUCCCCCGGGUCGCCUCAGGCUCGCUCAGCUCAUUCUUGUCUAGGGGGAGCAGCCUUCGGCCCCGCCAAACUGGGUAAUCAGCUGGUGUGGAUGCUGUGUGAUGUCCCCGCCUUGCCAAAGAACAGACGGUACACCAUAAGCGAUUAAAUGAUUACAAUUUUUAAAGAUUACUGUAACUAAGUGAUUAAUAAUGAUGCAGUAUAUAUGAAGGAAAAGAAAAUAAAUAAAAGACACCAAACUUAUCAAAGUCCAAACCGUUCCAAUGGCGGGGGCGUGGAAGUGGGAUAUGGGGCAUUCAGAAAAAGGUGGGAUUAGGAGAGGGCAAAUGGUGUGUCCCAGAGGAAGGCGUGGGUAGCUGGAAGGGGGAAGAAAGUGUCCCAGAGACGGUGGGGAGGAGGCCCAUAGAUGUAAGGGUGGAGUGGCGAGGUGUGGAGACAUACCAGAAGUGGGGUUAUGUGCUGAGGGGGUGUCCCACGGACCAUGGGUGACUGAAAGGAAUCCUGAAAACGGGUGGGGGUAGUGUCACGAUGACGGUGGAUGGGUGUGAGGGAAGGGUGUUGUGGUGAAAAGCGGGUGUUGCCAAGGUGGUUCUGGAGGGGAGGGUAUGGUAUCACAGAAAUGCUGGGGGAAAGAGCCCAGGGCGGGGGGAGCACAGAAAGGUGCAGCUGGAGGAGAGAAAACAGGAAAGAGGGUAGUCUGGAGAUGGGAGGAGAGAUAUGGACAGGAAACUAGAGUGAUAAGAGAUGGUGUCCCAGAGAAAUGGGGCAGAGUCUGAUACAGCAAUUUGGGGGGCAGGGGAUGAAGAGACAGAAUAGAUCCAGUGAAGCAGUAAGGGGAGGUAGGCGGCGACCUCGAGACACGGGAAGUUGAGACCUAGAGACAAGGGGAGGGAGGAGAUCCACAGAAUAGGAGGGGGAGGAGCAGAGGGAAAGGGGAUCCAGACCCGGUGACGAGUGGUGGGAAGGAGAUCUUUUCCACAGAUGCUGCCUGGCCUGCUGAGUUCCUCCAGCAUUUUGUGUGUGUUGCUGGGUUUUCCAGCAUCUGCAGAUUUUCUCUCAUUUGCAGUUGGCAUGACACUUUGACCCGGUUUCAAUUCCUGCCACUGUCUGUAAGGAGUUUGUAUGUUCGCCCCGUGACCGUGUGGGUUUCCUCCGGGAGUUCCAGUUUCGUCCAUGUACGGUACUGUGCAGAACUGUAAGGCAUCGCAGAGUUUCAGAUGGUAUGAAUUCAAUAGCGCCCCAAUCUCAACAUCACUGAGGCUUUUUGAGACUACCUGGAGAGACUCUGGCAGAUUCUGCAAGAUGCUUGGAACAUCCUACCAGCCGAUUUUCCUAUAAAACUGCACGACGAUGCACGUGGAAUUGAUGCUGUUUUAAAGGCAAAUGGUGGCCACACCAAGUAUUGAUCUCAUUUAUUUUUUUACUGCUCUUCAUAGUACAUUUUUUGAUGUUUAGAAACUUCUGAACUCAUUUUUUUAAAGCAUCUUCACUUUACAGAAUUAUUUUUACACGUGCCUCGGACUUUUGGACGGUACUGUAUCUGCUGGUUGCCCAUCCCUCCGUACUGCACCAGCUCCCUAAUCAUAUAUUCAACCACACUAUUUUUAUUGUUUGCUGUAGCAAGUCCCUCUAUCUGCCUGGACCAGGCUGGGGCAGGUGGACAUGCCAUGGGGGAGGCAAUCAGCAUCCAGGGAGCAGGGGCAGCCCACGUUUUUCAGGGGGGAAAUUUCAGACCCCCUCUAGAUUGCCCUUCCUCCCCUUGACCUCACAAAGAGGAUUAUCUUGGGACUCCUCCCUCCCUGAGACUUCACGGAACUCCCGGCCUUGGUACAGUUGGUGAGGUGAGGUGGCAAGGCACGUUCCAACAGGAGCCCAGAGUGAGGAGCAUCACAGAGCCUCUUUCUGUCUGUUUCCUCCAACAGGAACAAAACUCUCUGCUUGGAUCAGCUCCUGACAGAGGGGAGCUCAGGGACCCAGAGAGAGUGGGUGCAGCAGCUGGUGAUUAAUAGUGGAUGAUUCAGAGGUGUUUUAAUGUGAGGUUCAUGGUGGGAGAGGGAGCAGGCAUCAAUGCACAGGCACAUCCAAUGCAUUGACUCCUCCUCUGGGGCCAGCUUUUACAUCUACUGUCAUCUUAAAGUACUGUGCAAAAGUCUUAGGCACAUAUAUACAACGAGGUUGUAAGACAUUUACAAUACAGUACUCGUCAACGUAGAGCGGAGCGCGAGUUUGUAAAUCUGGUGGGAGCAAAGGAUGUUGGGAAUGGGGAGGUUGAAGCACCGAGGUGGGGGGGUGGUGGUAGAGCAGGAAUGCUGGGCCAAGGGGUGGUGGUGAGGGUACAGACACACACAGCCAGCCCAGGGACACCAGGCAAGGUCAUUUGAUUCCAAACAAUCGGUUUAUUGAUCAUUACAGAAUUUCUCUCUCGUGCUUCCCGCUCCCUCCCCUCUCCCUUCCCCUUUCCCCAACCAUGAUUCCCCUCUCCCUGCCCCCUUCCCACUCUCAGUCCACAACAGAGACCCAGAUCAGAAUCAGGUUUAUCAUCAAUCACAUGUGUCAUGAAAUUUUUUUUUGAGGCAGCAGUACAGUGCAAUACAUAAAAUCACUACAGUACUGUGCAGAAGUCUUAGGCACCGAGCUGUGUAUCUGUGCCUGGUACCUAUGGACAGUUCCUUACCUUGUCAAAAGCUUUUCAAAAGUCUGUGUAGACAACAUCCUCUGCCUCGCUCUCACCAUUCACCUUUGUCACCUCCCCAAACGAACUCAGUUAAGCUUACAAGGCCUAAAAUGCCAUGUAUAAUAAACAUCCCCCCCAAAGCCCUUUUUUUUCCCAAAUGCGACGUAUAUAGAAGGUAGAAUUUGCACCACCAAAGCAGGGUAGCUUCACUCAACAUCACUUGCCCCAUCAUUGAAAUAUUCUCACAGCCAAUGGGCUCACUUCCAAGGGUUCUUCAUCUUAUGUUCUUGUUACUUAUUUCUAUUAAUUUAAAUUUGCAUUUACACAGUUCGUUGUCUUCCGCACUCGAGUUGAACGCACUGGUUGGGCGGUAUUUCAUUGAUCCUGUUAAAGUUACUGUUUAAUCACUUUGUUGAGUAUGCCCACAAGAAAAUGAGUCCUGGGGUUGUCUGUAGUGACAUCGAUGUACUAAAUAAUAAAAUUUGA